GUGCUCAUUUCAGGAGCAUGUAUACUAAAAUUGGAACAAUACAGAGAUGAUUAGUAUGGCCCCUGCACAAGGAUGACACACAAAUUUGUGACCAGUUCCAUAUUUUU
rnacentral:snRNA from 1 species